CAAUAGCGUAUAUUAAAGUUGUUGCGGUUAAAAAGCUCGUAGUUGGAUUUCUGCUGAGAACGACCGGUCCGCCCUCUGGGUGUGUAUCUGGCUCUUUCUUGGCAUCUUCUUGGUGAACGUUGCUGCACUUGACUGUGUGGAGCGCUACCCAGGACUUUUACUUUGAGGAAAUUAGAGUGUUUCAAGCAGGCAUACGCCUUGAAUACAUUAGCAUGGAAUAAUAAGAUAGGACCUCGGUUCUAUUUUGUUGGUUUCUAGAGCUGAGGUAAUGAUUAAUAGGGAUAGUUGGGGGCAUUCGUAUUUAACUGUCAGAGGUGAAAUUCUUGGAUUUGUUAAAGACGGACUACUGCGGAAGCAUUUGCCAAGGAUGUUUUCAUUGA
rnacentral:rRNA from 1 species